AUACCCGCUGAACUUAAGCAUAUCAAUAAGCGGAGGAAAAGAAACCAACAGGGAUUGCCUCAGUAACGGCGAGUGAAGCGGCAUCAGCUCAAAUUUGAAAUCUGGCGUCUUCGGCGUCCGAGUUGUAAUUUGUAGAGAGUGUCUCGGGUGGAGCACCGGUCCAAGUCCCUUGGAACAGGAUAUCAUAGAGGGUGAGAAUCCCGUAUCCGGCCGGCCCCCUCCCCCGCUGUGAGGCCUCUUCGACGAGUCGAGUUGUUUGGGAAUGCAGCUCUAAAUUGGAGGUAAAUUCCUUCUAAAGCUAAAUACUGGCCAGAGACCGAUAGCGCACAAGUAGAGUGAUCGAAAGAUGAAAAGCACUUUGAAAAGAGAGUCAAACAGUACGUGAAAUUGUUGAAAGGGAAGCGUAUGCGGCCAGACUUGUCCCCAGUUGCUCCGCUCGUCUUUUGGCGGGUGUACUCUUCUGGGGCCAGGCCAGCAUCGGUUUGGGCGGUCGGAUAAAGACGUCAGGAAUGUGGCCCCCCUCGGGGGGUGUUAUAGCCUGGCGUGUAAUGCGAUCAGCCCGGACCGAGGCCCGCGUUCUGCUAGGAUGCUGGCGUAAUGGCCGUAUACGGCCCGUCU
rnacentral:rRNA from 2 species